UACAGAGGGUGCAAGCGUUAAUCGGAAUUACUGGGCGUAAAGCGCGCGUAGGUGGUUCGUUAAGUUGGAUGUGAAAUCCCCGGGCUCAACCUGGGAACUGCCAUUCAAACUGACGAGCUAGAGUAUGGUAGAGGGUGGUGGAAUUCCUGUGUAGCGGUGAAAUGCGUAGAUAUAGGAAGGACACCAGUGGCGAAGGCGACCACCUGGACUGAAUACUGACACUGAGGUGCGAAAGCGUGGGGAGCAAACAGGA
rnacentral:rRNA from 1 species